rnacentral:lncRNA from 1 species
AGGAAUGCUAUCUCACUAGAUAGUAAUGCUGUUUCUUACCAUCUAAUGCCAGAAUCCUAGUAUGACAGCAAUGGUAAAUAAUAACAUAAGAGCCACAUUUCCACCAGGCAGUAAAUCUUCCUUGGACUCAGGCAAUCUGCUUGUGCAUAAAAACAAGUAUUAGUGAUGUUAUCAUGGUCUUAGAGGAAGAAAAAUGCAGCUAAAAAUGUAAAGGUUACACUGUAAUAUAGGAAAAAG